AGAGUUUGAUCCUGGCUCAGGAUGAACGCUGGCGGCGUGCUUAACACAUGCAAGUCGAACGAACCUUCGGGUUAGUGGCGGACGGGUGAGUAACGCGUGAGAAUCUGCCCUCAGGAGGGGGAUAACGGCUGGAAACGGCCGCUAAUACCCCAUAUGCCGAGAGGUGAAAUGAAUUUCGCCUGAGGAUGAGCUCGCGUCUGAUUAGCUAGUUGGUGUGGUAAAGGCUCACCAAGGCAUCGAUCAGUAGCUGGUCUGAGAGGAUGAUCAGCCACACUGGGACUGAGACACGGCCCAGACUCCUACGGGAGGCAGCAGUGGGGAAUUUUCCGCAAUGGGCGCAAGCCUGACGGAGCAACGCCGCGUGAGGGAUGAAGGCCUCUGGGCUGUAAACCUCUUUUAUCAAGGAAGAAGAUCUGACGGUACUUGAUGAAUAAGCCACGGCUAAUUCCGUGCCAGCAGCCGCGGUAAUACGGGAGUGGCAAGCGUUAUCCGGAAUUAUUGGGCGUAAAGCGUCCGCAGGCGGUCUUGAAAGUCUGUUGUUAAAGCGUGGAGCUCAACUCCAUUUCAGCAAUGGAAACUAGAAGACUAGAGUGUGGUAGGGGCAGAGGGAAUUCCCGGUGUAGCGGUGAAAUGCGUAGAUAUCGGGAAGAACACCAGUGGCGAAGGCGCUCUGCUGGGCCAUAACUGACGCUCAUGGACGAAAGCCAGGGGAGCGAAAGGGAUUAGAUACCCCUGUAGUCCUGGCCGUAAACGAUGAACACUAGGUGUCGGGGGAAUCGACCCCCUCGGUGUCGUAGCCAACGCGUUAAGUGUUCCGCCUGGGGAGUACGCACGCAAGUGUGAAACUCAAAGGAAUUGACGGGGGCCCGCACAAGCGGUGGAGUAUGUGGUUUAAUUCGAUGCAACGCGAAGAACCUUACCAGGGUUUGACAUCCUGCGAAUCCCUUGGAAACUUGGGAGUGCCUUCGGGAGCGCAGUGACAGGUGGUGCAUGGCUGUCGUCAGCUCGUGUCGUGAGAUGUUGGGUUAAGUCCCGCAACGAGCGCAACCCACGUCUUUAGCUGCCAGCAUUAAGUUGGGCACUCUAGAGAGACUGCCGGUGAUAAACCGGAGGAAGGUGUGGAUGACGUCAAGUCAUCAUGCCCCUUACAUCCUGGGCUACACACGUACUACAAUGCUACGGACAAAGGGCAGCAAACUCGCGAGAGCUAGCAAAUCCCAUAAACCGUGGCUCAGUUCAGAUCGUAGGCUGCAACUCGCCUACGUGAAAGAGGAAUCGCUAGUAAUCGCAGGUCAGCAUACUGCGGUGAAUACGUUCCCGGGCCUUGUACACACCGCCCGUCACACCAUGGAAGUUGGCCACGCCCGAAGUCGUUACUCCAACCCGCAAGGGAGGAGGAUGCCGAAGGUGGGGCUGAUGACUGGGGUGAAGUCGAAACAAGGUA
rnacentral:rRNA from 1 species